UACGUAGGUGGCGAGCGUUGUCCGGAUUUACUGGGCGUAAAGAGCGCGCAGGCGGUCGUGCAAGUCGCGUGUGAAAGCCCCGGCUCAACUGGGGAGGGUCACGCGAUACUGCUCGACUCGAAGGCAGGAGAGGGAAGUGGAAUUCCCGGUGUAGUGGUGGAAAUGCGUAGAUAUCAGGAGGAACACCGAUGGCGAAGGCAGCCCCCUGGGUUAACACCUGACG
rnacentral:rRNA from 1 species